GAAAAUCGUUACUGUGGGAUACGCCGCAGAUAAACGUGCGCUCCAGGGGCCUACGGUGGCGGCGAAGGGGACAACCACAGCGGGCCGAGUCCUCGCCGAAGGGCGGGAGGACCGACGACAAACCAGCUGCUCUGGAGGAAGAGAAUCUCCGCUAUAAACACGUAAAUGAAACUGCGUCAGAAGAGGAGCCUGGGUUGAGAUCCGGUGGGAAUUUCCGCCAAGGCGGCCGGAACGUAGCGACAUCGCGUCAACUUGUGUACGCAACUCGGCGUCAAAACUUGACUUGGGGCUUUUCACCGAGGAUGAGAGAGCGAUGUAAACAAAAGACAAAACGCGUGAAGGCGAAGCCCCAAAAAGGAUGCUGCGCAAGAGAUGGACAGUGCGUAAUCACGCAGUGGAAGAGUACCGUCCGUGUUACGUAGUUAACAAUGACAAAACACCUAACGAAUCGGCACCCUCGUAUUUCACUUUUAACAAUCCGAUUAAAGCGGACACGUCAAUUUCUUUUGUAUUGCGUUUUAUAAUUCGAUGGUUAAACUAGGUGGACGUGGGUGAUGACGCAUCUGGCGUCGCGUUUCAGGUGACAACAACAUUUUGCUGCGUCACAAGCUGCCAGGAGGUCAACAAUAAGCUGGCUGGCUCCUUUUUAGUGCGCACUUGAUAUGAUGAAACUCGUUGCGGCUCUCGAGCUCAUGGGGGCGCUGCUGAGAAGCGCUCAACCCUCCUUCCAGAAGGAUGCUGGCAUUCGAUAGCAGCAUCGGAUAAAUAAACAGACGGGGACAGAACGAAUGCAGAUGCUUCCAUUCAGAACGUAUGAGUCAGUGGAUGUUUUGAUGGGUUGGUGAAUCACACGCUUUGGAAGUCACCGGUUACACAAAAUUCCCUGGGCAGACACCACUUCAAAAAUACAAUGAAAUGUUACAUUGAAGUAAUGAUUUCUGGAAAACAGAUACUAUAACAUCAGCUGAGUAACAGGUGGGGUGGGUUUCAUUUGUAUCCAAUUUUUGAAUCAGCUAUCCAUCCAGAACUUGGCAAGAGAAGCGGGGUACGCACUGUGCAAUGAGCCUAACGUGUGAGUUUUUAUGGGAAGAAGCCAAAGUGCCAAGAGAAAACUCACGCAAGCAGAGUGAGAACAGUCAAGAUUUGAACCCCGGAUCCUGCGAACUGCGAGGAUAACAUGCUGUACUGCUCACCCACUGUGCUGCUAAUGUUUAUAAAACAAACAAACAAAAACAAUUAACAGCCACAAAUAGCUCCUUGACCACACACUCGCUUGCCUGUUUCCUCUCUUGUGGCAAUUUGCCUAUUGCAUCAUGACUUUUUGAUUCCAUUAAAACAAAAUUACAAUACAGUAUUACCUCUCACAAGUUAUGCUCUCUUGAGAAUAGUUCACUUGUGAACCCGCAAUUUCCUAUCCAGGGCUGCAGUUUUCCCAUUUAAAAUUGCUUGGUUGGUGACUAUACCAAGUGUCACAAAGUGCACUUUUUGGAGGAUGGUCCACUUAAGUACUGAGCCGCCAUGUCGCGCGAUUUGUAGCGUGACUUAGGUGCAUCAAGAUGGACAUUGGGAAGCGGCCAUCUGUCAGUCUACCUGAAUGAUAAUUGUCAUUAAAAAUGCUACCGAAUAAUAACAUCUACAACUGGUAGGAGGCCGCACUUUCAUCCAUACUACACACAGUGUAGGCGCUGCUGUUUUGGUUAGCAACAAGUUGAAAUGGUAGUUGUUACUAUAUUGCAUGUGUGUGAAUGAUAUCAUUCAUAAAAUGAGUUAAGAGUUACUACCUGACAAAAGAGGCAUUGAGUAGAUGACUCAUUGUGAUAUAACAUCUGUUUGAGGGUUGCCGUUAAAUACUGUAUUUUCUCUGAAGCUGUUUCAAUUAAUCUGCCCUCAUGCCUGUGUGACAAUAGGUCACGCUGACAAACCUGUUGACACGGACGCCUUUCCAGCUGGUCACAGUCUAGGGAGGUGUGCUUGCUCACCUGCCGCUGAACUAGCCGAGAGUGUCGAGAUUAAAGGGCUUCCUCAAAUCUCCUUCGAGGACCGUGAACGCUGUGCCAUCUGCAGUCCAAAUGUCCUUUCCAAGGAUGACCAGUGCAACAAGUGACCCACUUUUGCGGAUAAGGAAGCAUGACCUCAAUAGUUAUUUUGCCGCUCCCUUUGAAGGGAGCGGUGCAGCCUCUCGCGCCAAAUUAGAAACCUAUGCACUCGUGAAGUGUCUUGUCAUCUUUUGCUGUGCCCCGGAGGGAUGCGACCAUGAUCAAUAAAAACAUUUACAAAGAGUGCAACCUAUUGUGAUGGCUGUUGAAAGCCACAUGCAUUCUUCAUGAAAGCUUAAGCGAGCAACUCAAGAUUGAAGAAUUGGAUGCGAGAGAUGCUAAAAUUAAUCCUGGGCCGCACUCGACCAUGUUGAUGAUGAUAAUAUUAAUAGACAAGUGAAGCAGCGCUUUUUCAUAGGCAUCAUUAGCAGCUAGCAAGCUUGCCAAAAUAGUCUUAAAACAGGAAGUGUGCAGAAACUGCCUCAGCACCUCGUCUUUUCUUAUCAUUGAAGCAUAAUUGGACAUUACAUGUUGUCUAAAUAUAAUGCAAGCUCAGAGUAGCCUUCAGGAACAAUUUUUUUAACGAUAUUACCAAUUUAUCACAGACAGCAGAAGUAAUAUACCACUUUGAGCUAGUUCAGAGCAAAAUGGAGGCAUCCAUUCAUGACGCUGACAGGCAACCAUUUGGUGAUGAUGUCUGCUUUUGGCCCUAGGUGGGAGCUAAGGAUUAACUCUAGCCCUUGCCCAGAACAAGGGCAGGAUUAGCAGUCGAAAAGAGAUGAAUAAAAAGGCAUAGUUUCAUUCUUAAUAUGCAGUACAGGUGCACAACACGAUCAAGUUUGGUAGGAUCUCACACAAGUCACACAGAGCAAAUUAAGACAACAACGGCACUGUUAAAAUUCAGAAACGGCAGUUGGCUUGCACCAUUAUUUCCAAGAUUCCAAAGUUUAGUUCAUUAUUGAAAACUAGGGACUCGCCCAGCAGGGCUUCAUUAAUUCACCAUUUGUUUGUUUUGGAGAGGAGGCCAGGUUAGGGGUGGCAGGUGUGUUGAUUAGUUGUUAAUACUUAACGCACAUUGAUCUUUUUGUCUUCAAAAUAAUGCAGAACGUCAAAUAAUGCUUUGUAUGUCAAAAUAAUGUGAUGGAAAACCUUACCUAGACGUGAAUCCUCCUUCCAUGUUCUCCAUUGUCUCAAAUGAGUCCGCAAACCCGAUUUGAGGCGGCCAUCGUGCUUUUUAACCCUUGACCCUUGCACUGCAGUAAUCCUACGUGGCCAGUAAGGGGCGUACUAAACAAAAACUACCGGUACCAUGCUAUGGACAAGACUUCAACAGAACUGCAUUGCAAAAAUGUAUCCAUUAUAUGAAUAAUUUACUUUUUAUUUCCACAAACGAUGAUUAAAAAAACUGUGAUUAAUACAAAAAUACACAACUCCCUCCAGGGAUAAUGGAUGCAACACAAUUAUUACUACCCAUUAGUUUUGUAAGACAGAUCAACAUUCUGCAGUUUGAAUAUGAACACUGUGCUUGAACAUGAAAACAAAAAACUUGAACAA